rnacentral:rRNA from 1 species
GACGAACGCUGGCGGCGUGCUUAACACAUGCAAGUCGAGCGGUAAGGCCCUUUCGGGGGUACACGAGCGGCGAACGGGUGAGUAACACGUGGGUGACCUGCCUUUAGCUCUGGGAUAAGCCUGGGAAACUGGGUCUAAUACCGGAUAUGACCCUAUGGCGCAUGUUGUGGGGUGGAAAGCCUUGUGCGGCUAGGGAUGGGCCCGCGGCCUAUCAGCUUGUUGGUGGGGUGAUGGCCUACCAAGGCGACGACGGGUAGCCGGCCUGAGAGGGCGACCGGCCACACUGGGACUGAGACACGGCCCAGACUCCUACGGGAGGCAGCAGUGGGGAAUCUUGCGCAAUGGGCGAAAGCCUGACGCAGCGACGCCACGUGAGGGAUGACGGCCUCGGUU